rnacentral:rRNA from 1 species
UACGUAGGGGGCAAGCGUUGUCCGGAAUUAUUGGGCGUAAAGAGCGCGUAGGCGGUCCGGUAAGUCGGUUGUGAAAGUCGGGGGCUCAACCCUCGGAUGCCGAUCGAUACUGCCGGGCUAGAGUCCGGAAGAGGCGAGUGGAAUUCCUGGUGUAGCGGUGAAAUGCGCAGAUAUCAGGAGGAACACCAAUGGCGAAGGCAGCUCGCUGGGACGGUACUGACGCUGAGGCGCGAAAGCUAGGGUAGCAAACGGG